AUGCAUAUAAUAAUAAGACGUCAUCCAUUAUAAUAAAGAAAGCAGUUGGAGUGCAGACAGGCAGUUAAGAGUCUUGAGUAUAGGGAUUACAGUUAUCCAAAUUGAGUAGGAAUUUAAAACUUGAAGCACAAAAGUAUUUCAGAAUAACAUAAGAAGGAAUUGUUUGUAGAUAACAUAAGAGGGUCAUGAAAUCUCCUAGCAGAACUAAGCAGCUGCAUCGCUGUUCUCCUCCAAGACUGCCUCCAGAGUAACAUCCUCGCCAUCUGCUCCCAUCCAAAAUGGAUGAUCAUNGCAAGANAAAACACGCAGACAUAGCACAACACAACCAAAUGCAAGGGUGAGCUAACUAUAUAAAGACAUGCAAUUAUAUUCACAUAUACAUAUCAAAAUUAAUCUCAAGUCAAAAGUAGGCAAACCAGACAAUACAUGACAUAGAUCCUAACAUAUUAUCUUCUAGACUUGACUCGUCCGGACUUUAGAAUGAUAGUCGAGCUAUGGCGGGUCAUGCACCCGUGGUGGCUUGUGAUACUUAGGCUCCCCCGCCCUGGGCUCCCCCGCCCUGCCACUCACGAGGUUAGUCUGUUCCGCGCCUUGGAGCAUGAUGGAAGCCUCCAAGACUAAGACCUCCUGCUACUCCUCACCACAUGGUUCAACCUCUCUAAGUGAGUUUGAUUGACCAUUGGAGCGUCAAGAAAACCCCCAAGACUGAGCUCCUACUUUCAUUCUAAAACACUAAGAAUCUCACCAAGAGAUUCUACACAGAUGAAACUUGAUUUACCACUUGGAUAGUACUUUCACCACUUUGUAAUCAUAUACUUUUUACCAUAAUCAACAUAUACAUAAUACACCAAUCACAAGUUACUAUUUCACAUAAUCUUUAAUCUUAACAUCAACACCUAAUAAAUCUUUCUAAAUUUUUACUCCUUCCAAUUCAAAAUGAAACCUAGUUUAACAAAAUCAAGGAACUUCACUGCUGCACCUAUUAUUUUCUUCUACAACCUUUCCAUGUUUCUGAACCCAAUUAAAAUCUAUUAACCAUUUGCCCUUUUCCAUUAAAUUUCCAACUUUCUUCUAUUUUUAUAUAAAAGAAUACCAAAAGAAAUCACGUCAACAAUUUAUUAAAAGCACACCAUACUUCCUACAAGGUAUUUAUUACCUCAUGAUAAAAAUUACUUAAUAACAUUAUUAUAUUUUACAUGCCACCUAUUAUAAUAAUAUUUUACAAGCAUUAACUACAUGAUAAUAAAAAUAUUAUUAUUUGAUAACAUUAGUAUAUCUUUUAAGAUACCCAAGAACAUGUAUUGGACUUUGUUUUGCAUAAAGAAAGACUAAAUAAAAGUUACGUAAACCUAUUAAAACAAAAGACAAAACCAAUCUUUAUUCAUUCUAAAUUAACAACACAACUACUGAUUCAUUGUUUUCUCUCAAAGUUUCACAAAGACUUUUAAAUCAUUUUAUAAUUUCUUUUCUUUUAACUAACAUGGGACCAUUCUCACCUACCAUUUUCUCUCACUUUUUUUUUUCUUAAAUUUUCACCUAAAGUAACACAUCCCAUUUCUUCUACUUCUUUCUUUUUCUCAUACUUUUCUCUGUACAUUCUUUAUUCUCUGGUUCUAUUUUUCUCCAAUUUUAUUCUUUAAUUUUUUACUUCUCUCUUCCUUUCUCAAAAUUUCCCUUUUUGACUCUUUCACUAACCAAACUUCUCCUUCUAUCUCCAGCCCACGUUUUCUUCUUUUUUUUUUUUCUUUUAAUUUUCCAUUCACACACCAUCCAAUACCCACCGCUCACACAUACACUCUUCUCUCCUUAUCAAGUUUUUAUCAACUACUAACACCAUUGGUUUCUCCUCUCCUACUUCAUUUUUUUUUUAAUCCAAAAGAAAAACAUCCUAAUGUAUGUCUUUAGUUUCCUGUAUGGUUCUCCCUCCCUUGUCUUACCCAUAUACUUCAAACUUCAAGCAUUCUAUUUUAUAAACAAAUCAUGUAACUCUUCAUAACUUUUACCAUAAAAUAAACCCCUCUCCUUUACAUAACCCCUACAACUCACAUGCAAUUUCUCUAUUUCUCCACUUACAUACCACAUACAACUUGUGCUUCUUCUUUCCUUGUGCUCUCCUUCAUCAUUAACCCACCUCUAUGCAAAAACACUCCACCACUUACUCAUCCUACUUUUACAUGCCAGUAUCCUACCUUUUCAUAUCUUCCUCUUUUCAAUUAAAUAUACGUUCAAAGCCCAUCCCCAAAUUCUUCACUCUGCUGCACUUUAUUUUCUAACACCAAAAUAGCUCAUUUUAACAUGUUCAAUUUAAAUACUUUGGCACAAACCACUUAAGCACAAAAACACACGUUCAAGUUGAACAACAUAAUAUUUUAUAAAUUACAUACAUACAUACCAAACAAUGAUUUAAAACAUAUAAUCAACUCCCCUCACCUUUUGGUUCUCACAGCAUAGUUCCUAAAAGCGUCCUAACAGUACCUCUGCACAGAGGUAAUUCCGAUAGUACCUACAAGCCACCAAAUUGGUGUAGAGCAUAGUCUUUAGGACUUGAUAGGAUAAGGAAAAUAAAAAUAACUCUACUUGCAAGGUAGAACCUUUGCAUGAGUAAAACCCUAGGGUGCGCAGAAUGGGAAAUUACCUUAUCAGUGGAGAGACGCGAAACUAAUCAGAUGGAUUGGAAGCUCUCGACUCCGGGAACGUAGGGGGACCACCUAUUUGAAAUAACAACGGUGGAAAUUUGAGAAAUUGGUACAGAGAAGGUGGAGCAAGGUUAGAGANAAGUNAGAGAAAAUAAGAAAUNUGAGUUCUAGAGAGAGAAGGGAAAUGAGGAAAUGAAAAUCUGAAUUGGGGAAAG
rnacentral:lncRNA from 1 species